AUGUCCGGAGGUGUGCCAGAAAGGUCUGGACCCUAAAACCCGCCGAGCACCUCGCAGAGCAACCCGCGCUGCUGUCUGUGGGACAGCACCUGUGCCUGCCCCGUGCGCAGCUAAGGGGGCCGCUGUGGAGGGCUCCCGAGCUGAAGCAAAGCGACCAAAAUCUAAUGCCCCCCCAGCCUACGGAAGACUCUAGGGGGGAAAAUGUUGGUGCUGUGCACAAGGACUGAGCUGCUGUUGGCAUUAACUGAAGGCGCUUUGAGAGUUUCCACCUGUCUGCAUUAAUGACACUUUUGGUCCAAUAUGACUAGAAUGUAUGAGGAAAAGUGGCAGGUGAUACAAAAGUCUGAAGACUUGGGCGCUGUUACCUAUUCCUGGCGGAAAGGAGCAAAGCGAACAGCAAAGAGACAUUUUGCGUCGGGGCUGCCUCGCUGAGGCUGUCCGCAGCGGGGCAGGGGAUGCAUCUGCUUGGCUGCUCCGUGUGCGUGUGCCUUCUCCAAGCGCCGCUGCAGAUUGCAUCUAAACUGAAGCAGAUGACAGCCCGGAUGAAUAAUUUAGAGCUCCGCGGAGGAAGGAGCCGCAGUGCAGGCGGGAUGGAGGAGCAGCAGAGGGAAGGCGAGGAGAAGCUGUAAGGCUGCUGGAGCAUGGAGGAAGGUAAAGAUGGCCUCGUGAGCGGCCGACUACACUGCUGGGAAAUGAAACUCAUUUGCUGAACUUCCUCCCCUCAGGUAUGGCCUAAAGAGACGGAGCCAAAAAUAAUUCGGUCUGUAGCAGACAUGUGGCCACCUGAGCUGAUCUGGGGUGCGCAGAGCUCUUGAGUUUCCACUAAUGCUCGCCUCAGGCAAAAGAUUUAAUUAGCCCAGAUGCUGGAAAAGCCUCUGUUUUUCC